rnacentral:sRNA from 1 species
AUAAUGUUUUAAGAAAGUUUAUGAAUUUGCAUUGGGUCACAAUCAAAGCCAUCUUGGGCUGCAUGCAGGCUGUGGGUUGGACAAGCUUGAUAUAGAGCAUGAACUGGCAAACUACAGCCCCUGGACCAAAUCUGUCCUGCAGCCCAUAAAUAAGGUCUAUGGAAUACAGCCAUGUUCGUUCAUUUACGUAUUAUCGAUGACUGCUUUUGUACUAUAAAUAGAG